AGAUACUUAGUUUAUAGUGUAAACAGGGAUAAAUGACUGUUGAAAAGGUAGUUCAGUAGGUAAAAUGGAUGAAUAGUUAGGAAAAGCAGUUUUCAUUAGAGAUGUAGCAGUUUGUAUCUCGUGGUAGCAUAAGGAGGAUGGAAGAGAGGAAGUAGGGGCCAUUACUAUGAUAGUGUGAGCCGGGGUAAGCUUGGUGCUACCUCUUUUCUUUUGUUGUUAUGUUCUUUGAAAUAAGAGUAUUGAGAGUUUCUGAAUAUUGUGAAGUGAAUCAUGGAAUGAAAGUGUAAAUGAAAUUAUAUGUUAUUGAAUGAGAAGAAGAGAGAUUGAAUGGUGAAAUCUGAAUAUAGUUCAGCAGAAAGAGUGAAUCUGUGGUUGUGUGAAACACUAUAAUGUGAAUGGUAGUUAUGUGUGAAGAAUUCCAGUAAUUGGAAUGAGGGUAAUUGUGUGCUGAAACUGUGAUGUUGCGGUAUUAGAGUUGGAGAUUAUAAGAGUGAAGAUAUAUUGGUGGAAAUAACAGUUAUUGGUAUGACUGAAUUGUUGUAAGGAAGAGAUUGAUAAGGUGAAAUGAGAGAUUAUAGUUUCUUUGUGUGCUUAGACAAUGGAAAUAGAGACGAUACAUUGGAGGUAAUUAAUUGUGUGACUCUAACGUGAACGCUCAAGCAACUAGUCACUCCCCGUGUUCGAAUUCUCCUAUACAUGUUUAUUCUGGGAGGUUUCUUUCGGAAUAAGUAAAACAACCAACCACAUUUUGGCGCCACUGCCGGGGAGUGAUAAUAGCUUUGAGCGUUAGGAAUUAAUUACAAAUGUGUGAGAAAAUGGGCAAUGGAAGACGAUUUCAGUAGUGUUUGAAGAAAGAUUAUGGUUAAUAAGAACGAGAGCAUUGCAUCGAGGAAAAUAAAUCAGUUGAGAGAAAGACAGGGAAGAACGCAAGGAAGGAACUUGCGUAGAGAGGAGCAAGAACUUAAUCUUAAAAGGAAGCAUCGACAAAAUUGGAUUAAACCAUGGUUGCAAGCUUGUUGGCGCAUCCGAACAUAUCAAGAACCGGACAGACUAUUAAUUCUGCAGUCUUAUGUACCGUUAGAAAAACUGCCAAGAGCACUCGCGGAAAAUUUUGUUAACAUUCCAGUAGAAAUCUUGAGGUCGUUAACUAAAAGAGAAGGAGGCAUAGAAGUAUUUGGUACUCCAUUGGGUAAUUUUUCAGUAGGGGGUACCGCUGAAACGAGCAAUAGAGGCUCUGCAGAUUGGCAUGAAUUGGUCACCAAUAAAGGCAAUUAUAUCGUAUUUCAAAAUCUGACUAUUUCACUUGCAAGUCAACCAACAAAACUAUUUGCGGAGAAUAACAGUAAAGCAAGGACCGUUGAAAGCUCGGUAAUUAGAGUAAGGAAAAGCAAAGAUUAUUUUAAAACAAAUUUCAGAGGAACAAAAAAUUCAAUGGCAGCAGGAGGACCAGCCGUUCCAAUUGCAGUUCAAAUAGGUACCUUGGGCGAUCGUACGACUAGCGUCGCACCAUUACCUACUUUUCGUGGUUUGCCAGGUGCGGAUCCAGAUCAACAUUUGUCUCAAUUCUUGACAGCGUGUGUAGCCAAUAAUGGAAGGACAGAAGACAUUUGGCUGAGAUGGUUGCCAGCAACACUAAAAGACAUAAUGUUCGAGUGGUAUAACUGCCAACCUGUAGGUCAAUUUAUCAAUUGGGAGGCAUUGAAAACGGCAUUUUUAGCCCAUUUUCGACCAAUUGGUUUUGAAGAACGUCUUUGAGAAAGAUUAAUGAAUAGCAGAAUGGUACCAGGGGAAGUAGUACAAUCAUAUUAUGGUCGUGUAGCAGAUAUACUUCGGAAAUGGCCAAAUAACCAAAUGUCAGAAUCGUUUGUGUUGUCCAUAUUGGUUAAUGGAUUACACCCACCAGAAUUGAAGUUGUUUGUAAAGGAGGCCCAAUCAGCUACCAUUGUAGCAUCUCUUGAGCGAGCAAAAGUAUGGGAGGAAUGUCAUUACGACCAGCACUUAACCGUUGGCGCCACGAUGAUUCCAUCACAAGGCGGUUAUCAAAUGACAAAUUGGAAUGACGCAUCAGAAAGUUAUCUGGAAACGAGUGAUUAUGGUACAAUUCCACAGGGAAUAGUGAAUGCUGUUCCAUUGCAGGCUGCACUACCAUCAUCGUCACAAUCGUAUGUGCCUUAUUCCACGUAUCAAAAAUCAAUACCUAUGAGGGAAUUGACCAAUGAAUUGGUAUCAAGGGAUCCCAAUGAGUCAUUGUUGUUAACAUUAACAAAGAAAAUGGAUGAAUUGGUUGUGAAUCUGGCCAAGGAUAAAGAAAAAAGGCAUAAACCGACCAAUAUGCGACCCAAUGUUUGGUGUAGCAAUUGUAAGGGACAAGGUCAUUUGGUAACCAAAUGUUCUUCACCACCCCAAAUGAUGGUUCUAUGUACCUUUUGUGGGGGUAAGCAUACCACUGUCAAUUGUUGGAACUUAAGGAAACAACAACAAGUCGGACAACAGACCAUGAGUCAACCAACUUCGUGGGAUGUAAAUCAAGUACAAACGAAUAAUAAGUUCGGCUGGAAUGGAAAUCGAGCGAAUAAACAAAACAAGAAUUAUUCCAAUUUUCAAAACUCUGAAUUUCACCAAGAAGGUGUAUCCAAUACCCAUGGCUUGGGGCUGAAUCAGCAAGGAUAUCAUCAAUAUUCAACCAUGCAGAAGCUAAUGCCAGAAUCUACAGUACCAAUGGAUCAACCAGGAUCCUUCACUCAACCGACAUGGAAUAGACCGAGCCGUUAUAUAUCAGUAGAGACACCCAAUAUUCCUGAAGGAGCUGGCAGAAGACCACUUCGUUGCUAUCGGUGCAGACAAAUCGGACAUUAUGCGAGUGAAUGUCCUAAUCCAAGAGCAAGUGAUGAUUAUGCCCCAAUAUGUGGAAAUUGUAAGCAGUCUGGUCAUACUUAUGAGCAGUGCAACGCGGCAUUUAAUUAUAAUAACCAUGACCAGCAGAUGCAAACAAGCCAGCCAGCAGAGGACAAAGGUCCUGUUCAACGGGACUCACCAGUACAUCGCGUCGAGGUGGUGAACGCAGUGCUUACCAGGGGCCAACAAAAAGGCAAGAAUCCAAUUCAGGACCUGGAUGACCCAAUCGAAGUAACAACAGUAGCGCCAUCCAUGAGGUGAACUAAACCAAUACCAGUAUUGGACCGUAUUCCAAUAUUGGGACCUCAACAGGACGAGGAACCCAAUUCAGUUUCACGUGCCAAUUUUUCGGGGACAUGAAGAUCAAUUCCAAAUGACCCCGUCCCAAUACCCGCACAACCCAAUAUAAGCUCGUACCCAUUGAAGGAACCUUUAGUAGUCGAAGAGUCGACUAAGAGGAAGGAAUUGCUGCCGAACAGAGUCAAAACGAAACCAAUGAAACGUAAAAGAGCAUUGGGAGUUACUCUCAAUAUGCAACCCUAUGACAUUUUGAAGGAUUUGGAUAUUAUCCAGCCUUCAAUUACAAUGAAGCAACUUUUGGCUGUAGCACCGGAAUGUCGAUCAACAUUGAAUUCAGUGUUAAUACGGCGAAGAUCCCGCACUAGAGAAAUACAUGAAGUUAGCUUAAACCCGGAUCCGGGAGCACCAACAAUCGAUGUAUCAAUCGAUGGAGUUUUAAUUCCAGGGGUACACGUCGAUGGUGGCUCCAAUGUGAAUUUAAUGAACGUUGAUACAAUGGAAGACUUGGAUCUAAAGCAAUUGCUCCCUACGACAUUAGUUUUGCGAAUGGCAGAUCAUAGUGCGGUUAAGCCGAUGGGAAUCUUACGCGAUAUUGCCACUGUAAUCGUGGGAUUGACAUAUAAAAUUAACUAUGUUGUAUUUCAGUUACAAAGUUCUACGUUAUCGUAUCCCAUUUUAUUGGACAAACCUUGGUUAUAUCAAGCCAAGGCUAAGAAGGAUUGGGGCCGCGGCACAUUGACAAUUGGAAAAGACAGUGACCAGAUUGUUCUACAAAUGUACCCGGUACAAUAUCACAGAGAAACCCCAUUGCCCGAAUCAGAAUUUACAUCGGAUAACGAGAGUCACUCGAUUGAGGAAGAUGACGAUGCUAUAGUUUCACCGUAAUUUGGGGCAGGUCAAACCCCUUCAACAAUCAAGGGCGGAGUCUACCAAUGUGGUGGCCCCGGUGAAUAUUUACUACAUCAGGAGGAUGCCUCUAACUCGGAUCAUAUUAUUACCGAAUGGAUGACCCGAUAUGAUGUCAAUCAUGUGAGUGCAAUGCGGUUAGACAUGAGUCACCAGCAGUUACAGCCUCCUUCGCAUGACGACGAGCCAACAGGCGAUUUUAAAUCGGGUUUAAAUCGGUGGCUGUGGAAGAACCUGUUUUCUAGACUCUGAACUUAGGCACCCCUGACGUGCCCCAGAAUAUAAAGAUAUACAAGGAUAUUCAAGGUAACGAAUUGAGUCAAUGGAAAGCAUUCUUCCUCCGACAUAAAUCAUCCUUUGCUUGGAUGUAUGUAGAUCUGAAGGAUAUUCCAGAAACGGUGUGUAAACAUCGUAUUAUAUUGGUUCCGGAUGCUACACCAGUUCGUCAAAGACAACACCGUCUCAACCCAAAAUAUUCCUUAAUGGUAAAAGAGGAAUUAGACAAAUUAUUGCACGUGGGAUUCAUUUAUCCGGUUCCGUAUAGCGAAUGAGUCUCACCAAUGGUAAUGGUACCUAAGAAAAAUGGCAAGAUUAGAAUUUUUCAAGAUUUUUGGAAACUCAAUGCUGCUACCAAGAAGGACUAUUUUCCUCUACCUUUUACGGAUAGUAUAUUGGAUGCCGUAGCAGGACACGAAUGUUAUUCAUUUUUGGAUGAUUUUUCGGGCUACAAUCAAGUCAAAAUUGCUAAGGAAGAUCAGUCCAAGACUACUUUUACGACAGAUUGGGGUACAUUUGCAUACAAAGUGAUGCCAUUUGGAUUAUGCAAUGCACCAGCCACAUUUCAAAGAGUGAUGACACAGGCCUUUCAAGGUUAUUUACGAGUGUCAAUGGAAAUAUUCUUAGAUGAUUUUUACACGUUCAGUACGACAGAUGACCCGAUAUGAUGUCAAUUAUUUGAACUGCUUGGGACGAUGUCUGGACCAAUGCGAUAUAUCGUUGAAUUCAGAGAAGUGUCAAUUUGGGGUCCCCUCUGGAAGACUCUUGGACCACAUAGUGUCCAGCCGCGGUAUUGCUACGGACCCAGAUAAAGUAACUCGAAUAUUGGCUUUACCAAAGCCAGAAACGGUGUCAGAAGUACGUGGCUUUGUAGGCCAUGUCAGCUAUUAUCGGUGUUUUAUUCACUCCUUUGUGGUACUAUGUCAGCCAUUGACAAAUUUGCUAAAGAAACCACUAUUGGAUGGAUCUAGUCCCAUUUGGACGAAAGAAUGCAGUGUUGCCUUUGAGGCCUUAAAGCAAAAAUUGGUGUCUGUACCAAUACUGGUUGCCUCAUGCUGGGCGAAACCAUUUCAAGUUUAUGUCGAUGCAUCCAACGUCGCGAUUGAAUCGAUAUUGAGUCAGAAGGAUGACAAUAACCGUGAACAUCCAAUAUAUUUUGCGAGUCGAAAAUUGGUUAUGGCCGAAUGUAAUUAUAAUACUACCGAGCGAGAAGCCCUCGGCAUGAUUUAUUCUGUACAAAAAUUCUGCCAUUAUCUACAGGGCUACCCGUUUGUGUUCCACGUUGAUCAUGAUGCGCUUAAGUAUAUGAUAAAUAAACCCCAAUUGAGUGGAUGAAUUGCUCGCUGGGUGUUACUUCUCCAGGAAUUCAAUUUUAUAAUUAAUGUUUGCCCUGGCAAGACACAUGCCAAUGCAGAUCACUUGUCCCAUUUAUCUAAUAUACUGGGUAAUGAGCCGAUAAACGACGCCUUUUCGGAUGCACAAUUAUUCGCUGUGGAGGUUAUUACACCCGAAUAUGGUGACCUGAUCCAAUAUCUCAUAUUUCAGACUUUUCUAAUUUCUUAUAAUGAAAAAUUAAAGAAGCGUCUCAUUAUAAGAAGUGCGCCAUAUACCAUGAUUGGAGCCGCAUUAUACAAACAAAGACGGGAUGGUAUUUUACGACGUUGCAUAUUUCCAAGUGAAGUGUGUACCAUAUUGGAAGGAUGUCAUUUGAAUAGCUGUGGAGGACAUUUUGCGGAUGAUAGCACCGCGCGUAAAGUUUUAAUGGCUGGUUAUUGGUGGCCAACAAUGUUUUCGGAUGCUCACAAAUAUGUUCGUCGUUGUGACCCUUGUCAACGAAUUGGUCGACCUACUGGAACUUCUGCAAUGCCAUUGGUACCAGUUUUGGCGCAGGCACCAUACGAAAAAUGGGAUAUUGAUUUCGCCAGACCAAUUGCACCUGUUUCUCGGAAUGGACAGAAACGUUAUAUUUUAGUAGCCACUGAUUAUGUCACCAAAUGGGCGGAGGCUACGGCAACAAAAACUGAUAAUGCCACUACUGUAGCAACAUUUUUAUAUGAGAACAUUAUCACUCGUUUUGGUUGUCCGAAAGAAUUGGUUAGUGAUCAAGGAACCCAUUUUAUUAAUGCAACCAUUGAAGCAUUGACAACGAAGUAUGAGAUCAAGCAUCGAAAAACUACCCCUUAUCAUCCACGUGCCAAUGGGCAGACCAAAAAGACCAACGGUAUCCUUUGUAAAAUCUUAACAAAGACUAUUUCAGGAGCGGGAACCGACUGAGAUACUAAAUUAUUUGCAGCAUUGUAGGCAUAUCGAACUGCGUAUAAAGUAACGACCAAUUCCACACCUUUUCAAUUGGUAUACAGGCAAGAGGCCAUCUUACCAAUAGAAUUGGAGGUUCCCAGUUUAAGAAUUGUAUUGGAAGAACGGUUGAGUAACAAAGAAUCUCUCCAAUAUCGGUUAACAAAAUUGGAAAAAUUGGAUGAGAUUAGGGCUUCGGCUUUGAUGACCAUGGAAGCUAUUCAGCACCGCCAGAAGAGUUAUUACAAUAGUAAACUCCGCACAAAAUCAUUUAUGCCCAAUGAUCUUGUCCUGCUGUACGACAGCCGUUUUCACAAUUUCCCGAAAAAAUUUCAAAUUCGGUGGCAUGGACCCUAUCGCGUAUUGGCAGCCUUUCCCAAUGGUUCCGUCCAAUUGGAAGAUUUCACGAGAACCAAAUUCACAACCCCUAUCAAUGGAAACCGACUACGCUUGUAUUAUACAUAAACCCGGGGGCGGAUUUAUCAAGAUUGGAGGGGGCAGAUGUGCCGUUCAUGAUGACUUGCCUGCCAUCAUAAGUGUCUAAUCGGAGGCAAAUGAUGGUGGUUGAUUAGUGUAUUAGAACAUCAGCAAUCAAGAUUAGGGAUUCUUGUUUCAUAACUGGUUAAACAGUUAGGAGAGGGGCACUCUGUGUAGCUGCCUUUAGUAUUUUGUUUAGAAUUGUUGAAGCAUAGUUCGUUAGUGGAGAGUUCACGGCAAAUCAUAGUAUUAGUGCGAAUACGCAGAGCUUUAUAAUGUCAAGGGAGAAGGUGAAGAGAGCCUCGGAGAAGGAGGAAGAGGGUAGAAGGGUGAGGUCAAGGAGUAAUAUGGAUGAGCUUUCUCUUUGUAUACUCACAAAUAUGGAACCCAUGCGGUUAGAAAUUUACUGGAAUGCAACGCGGCAGAAGGACUUUAGAAGUACGCAGCUAUAUCCUUUUCUGCGAGCUGCAGACAAUUUACCAUCAAUCGAUGUAGAACUAUUGGAAGAAUAUUUGACGAACUAUGAUCCUGAGGAUGGUUCGAGUUUUGUAAAAAGGAGGACUUUGGAAAUUGAUGAGAAUACCUUGCAUAAGGCAUUACAGUUACCAAUAGGAGAGUUAGCGGUUGGCGCAGAAGAGUCUUCAGACUUCAAUCCGGGGAGUUAUUUUAAAGGAGGUAUGACGUCGCUAGAAAGGAAUCAAGGAUGGCGGACGACGGAUGCACUUAUACCAGAAUUGAUGGAGUGGAUGCGCUUCAUUCAGAAGAGGUUGGGAUUAAAUAGACAUACGACGUAUAUGGCUAAACGAUUAUUAUAUGCGACAAUAGGCUCCUUCGAGGGUAUCGUGUUCAAUUGGGUAGCGUACGUGGCCACCAGAAUUUAUGCAGGGUUGAGUUACAAGCGCAGAUUAGGUAGAAUUGCAACGCUUCUGUGUUCCAAUUAUAUACAGUCUGCAAUAGUUUCUGAGUUGAAUCAAACGUUGCCAGAGAAAGGGAAGACGAUAGCAGCUCUAGUACUACCAAAACCGAGGAGCAAUUUAUUGGCACUUCCAUGGGGACCAGGAGAAACAAGCCAGCAGGCGGGAGAACCAAUCAGUGUUCAGGAGAGGGGUCCAAUUGCUCAGCGAGACAAUAGGCCAGUGGACAUUCAACAUCAAACACCAGAGGAGAAUAGUGUGAAAGAGCGAUUUUUGGUAUAAUUAUCCUAAUUGCAGCAGACGGCAAACGAAUUGAUUGAUCACAUGAAUUUUAAGCAGCAAUUGGUGGUGUGUAAGAAGAAAAUGGCAAAACAACGUCAAAAAUUGUUGGAACAAGAUCGGGUGAAUAGGGCCAACAAAGAAGCCAAUUCGAGACUGGAGCAGGCCCUUGGAGUAAAACAGCAAGCGUGGGAAAAGGAAAGAGAGCGCCUUCACCAAGGAAUGGCGCAACAGAAACAAGAACUCUCCAAUUCUCUCAAUCAAUCGAAACUGGAAGUUGAGAAAAUGAAGCAACAAUUGGAAUUGAACCAGACGAAGAUGGCGACUUUGGAACAGGAAAAGAAGACGAUGAGUGACCAAUUCAGAGUGAAAACAGAGGAAAUGCAAGGGGAGAUCAACACUCUGAAGGAGGUUGCAAAGAAAUUGGAGGAAGAAUUGGUCAGUGUUCGACGGCCACAAGGGUCAAUUGAAGGUUCAAUUGGCGAAUUGGAACAGAAGGUGAAGCAACAACAAUACCAAUUAGAGGCGAAAGAUACCCGAAUUUUAAAAUUCGAAAGUCAAGUCCGUGAAUUGGGAGCACUUAAUGAAGAUUUAAUGGCCAAAUUGAACAUAGUACCAAUAAAUGUAUCAGACGGUGUCGGGUAGAGAGAGUUUGCCUCAAGAAAGCGCUGGGCUUCUGGCUGUCACUAAAUACUCAAUCAAGUUUGAAAUAUAAGGGUAACAAUUUUAUAUAUAUAAACUCCUCUCCUUUGGAGCAAUUACAUCAAUAUGCAAGCCUUAAAAUCCAAAGAACACCAAAAUACUUGAUAAGGUGUUAUAAAAAACUUAUAUAUCCUUAUGAGGAAUUUUUCCCAAAGUUCAACAGCUCAUAACUUACGAUCUAACCGUCUAAACAACUCCAAAUUUUACAUGGAGUACUGAUAUAUCUUUAGCAACUACCACAUCAAAAUUCAACCGUAAAUUCGUCUUGGAUCUUGUGAUAUCUUGAAAACCUUAACUGUAGCUUCAAACCCUAGCUUUUUUACACCCGUGUACAACUUCCUUCAUAUCUCACAAAGUAAUUAUUCAAAUAUUAUGAAAUUUUGAUUUAAAGCUUUUUAACCCAAUUACACACACUUGUAGAAAUUUUGAACCAAAAAUUCGUCCAAAAACUCAAGAUAUGGCUUCAUCCAUAACUAGCAACAAAACGAUAUACUUACUGCCUUCAAAUUACAAGUGCUGUCUUCAACGCCUCAUAACUCCUGCACCCAAUCUUAGAAUUUACUAUACAGUAAGUAGAAUGUGUAGCCGAGAAAAUUCUCCCUCCAAAUCCAGUCGCCGAUCUUCCGUUGCUCUCCGUAUUCGUAUGUGAUGCCCAAAAGAAGUGACAGUAGGUACAAAAUUGACACCUUAUCUUUGAACAUUCAUAUCUUUUCCAAAAAAACUCGAAAUCACACAAAAUCUUCACCCAAAUUAUACCCAAAACCCUAAACCUUCUGACCUUAGCCUCAAAAGCUCGAAUGGCCUCGAAAGAGGAACCCUAAUUCCUAAUAUGGCCUCGGGCAGCCUCCUCAAAGCCCAUUGGGCAUGGUAUUCGACCAAUAGGGAUGAAGUUCUUCACCCCUUGCCUUCAUCCAACCAUGCCUUACUUUCAUCCUUCCCAAUAAGCCUCCUUCUAGUUAUAUUUUCAUCUUUUAAGUCCUCCCUUCCCUUAAUCUUUAUAAUAACUAUCUAAAUCCUAUAUAAUAUAAACUCUAUGAUCAAACUAGAUUAACUUCCAAAUAAUUUUUCUUAUUUCAAUUCAUUUUAAAUUAACAUACUAACUAUUCUAACUCACAUUAAGACUUAUAAACAUAUUACAUGUUUUCACUAAUUUUUACAUACUGUAAGUAAUUACAGUACGACAACGGGGAAGACGAAGAAGUGACUUUAGAAUUGUAAUCAGUAGCUAUGAGUAUGGGCAAUGCUAAGGAGUCAUCAGUUCUUGUUUCGAACUGGUUGUUUGCGAGGACGCUGUAUAGUUAGGAGUGGGGCUAUAUAGAAUAAGUAAUUAUUUGCUGAUUUGUAGAUACUUAGUUUAUAGUAUAAACAGGGAUAAUUGACUAUUGAAAAGGUAGUUCAGUAGGUAAAAUGGAUGAAUAGUUAGGAAAAGCAGUUUUCAUUAGACAUGUAGCGGUUGGUAUCUCGUGGUAGCAUAAGGAGGAUGGGAGAAAGGAAACAGGGGCCAUUACUGUGAUAGUGUGAGCCGGGGUAAGCUUGGUGCUACCUCUUUUCUUUUGUUGUUAUGUUCUUUGAAAUAAGAGUAUUGAGAGUUUUUGAAUAUUGUGAAGUGAAUCAUGGAAUGAAAGUGUGAAUGGAAUUAUAUGUUAUUGAAUGAGAAGAAGAGAGAUUGAAUGCUGAAAUCUGAAUGUAGUUCAGCAGAAAGAGUGAAUCUAUGGUUGUGUGAAACACUGUAAUGUGAAUGGUAGUU
rnacentral:lncRNA from 1 species